rnacentral:rRNA from 1 species
GAUGAACGCUGGCGGCGUGCCUAAUACAUGCAAGUCGAGCGAACGGACGAGAAGCUUGCUUCUCUGAUGUUAGCGGCGGACGGGUGAGUAACACGUGGAUAACCUACCUAUAAGACUGGGAUAACUUAGGGAAACCGGAGCUAAUACCGGAUAAUAUUUUGAACCGCAUGGUUCAAAAGUGAAAGACGGUCUUGCUGACACUUAUAGAUGGAUCCGCGCUGCAUUAGCUAGUUGGUAAGGUAACGGCUUACCAAGGCAACGAUGCAUAGCCGACCUGAGAGGGUGAUCGGCCACACUGGAACUGAGACACGGUCCAGACUCCUACGGGAGGCAGCAGUAGGGAAUCUUCCGCAAUGGGCGAAAGCCUGACGGAGCAACGCCGCGUGAGUGAUGAAGGUCUUCGGAUCGUAAAACUCUGUUAUUAGGGAAGAACAUAUGUGUAAGUAACUGUGCACAUCUUGACGGUACCUAAUCAGAAAGCCACGGCUAACUACGUG